ACGCACAAGACUAUAGAGCGGAUCUUAUUUUGGCUAAUAUUGAUGGAGGGUUAUCGAGUAUGCUCUUCGAUUUACUUUCAAGGCUUCGAAUAAUCAAGUUGAAUAUGAAGCCUUGAUAGUCAGAUUGAGAGUUGCCUAGAUCUUGAUGAAAAGUGACUAAAAAUUUUCACUAACUCGCAACUAAUAGCUAGAUAAGCCCAAGGAGAAUACGAAGCAUAAGAUCCAAUCC
rnacentral:lncRNA from 1 species